CCGUCUUGCAUCAUCAUCAAACAAAAUAAACUGGAAUGUUCUCUUACUUUGAUUCAACCGUUCUCUCAGGUAAAUUGGUGCGCUACAUAUUAGAGUGGGAUAAACUUCUUCAACUCUAACACUGGCGAGAACCCAAUUCAUCAUUUACUCAGUUGAUAUUAGUCUAGCUAUGAGCUUUCAAGGAACAGGGUCGCCAAAUAAAGCUUGAUGUCAUAAUAUUGGAUGAUAAUUUUGUUGUUGAUGUAAAGGCCGAGACAUCAAUAAAUAUUUAAUGGAUGCUGCAUGAGCAGCAUUAGUAAUGGAGAAAAGGAAUAUACAUCUUAUCAUGGAGUACCUGGAGCUUAGUAAGGAAUAUACGUCUCUUAUAUAUAUCUUUUUCGGGUAUUAGAGUACCUGGAGCUUAGUAUGGAUCUCUGUUUAAAAAUCUGUUAAUUGCUUUAUAUAGAGUGCAUUAAUCAAAUAGCUCUUAUAGCUUUCUGACUCCUAACCCAUUGAUUGUUGUAAUAAGAGAUUGUGUGUGUGCUCCUAGCAUUCUACUUUGGAUUGUGUAUGGAUAUGAACCUUAGGCUACAGUCUGGUCUGUAAUUCAUUUGCUAUUUCUAAGAAGUUUAGCCAAAUUCAAAUGUAUAAGGAUGUGAGGAAGAAUUGCGCACGGGUAAACGAAUAUCUAUAUCUUAGUAUUUUCUGUAUGGCGGGAGAGGUAGGUAACACUAAAGAAUCAAUGAAUGAGCAAAAAAUAACUGAUCAAAUGUAAGAAAGUUUGUCUAUUUACCUUUUCAAAAAGGAAAUAAGAAAGAGUAAAUUUUGUUGUCUUAGAUAUGUUAGAUCUUUUCUUGUUUUUCAGUGUUUUAUACUUUUAGAAACAGAAAAAUCUACUAGAUAACCCCAUCAAUUCUUUUGCUUCUUGUACAAAGAGACAUGAUGGGCUAACACAUCUUGUACUUCUUGAAAAUAUAUAGGUGCGGAAACGAUAUACUUACUUAUGCAAUGAGGCAUUAUGCAAUGAGACAUGACAAAAAAUUGAAAUGAAAUCUAUUAGCUCCAAGAAAUGAAACUUUAUGCAACAGAUGAAGA